rnacentral:lncRNA from 1 species
GUCACAGAGCUGGGAACUCGCUCAGAGCCAGGGUCUCUGCUGGGGUCAGCGUCUGUACGCUAAAGCCAGGGCGCAAAGUGCGUGGGCACUGCGGACACUAGAGGCUUAUGGCGCUGGAAAUACAAGGCCGAGUUGCCGGCGCAAAGAGUUCCCCGGGCGGGUUGGUGAUGCGGCGCGCUUUGAUAACAGGUUAAUCCGGCCAACAUUCGCUCCGCGAGAGAGCCAUCGGAGGGCUCCGGGAGACUGCGGCGCCACGGAGGGAGAGGCGGCGAGAGGCCCCUCUGCGAGCACCCUCUGGGCGCAGUGCGGUGGGCUAUGCUCUGCGCAGCCCCGGGCGCGCCUGGGUUCUCAGAGCCCAAGACCUGAGCCGCUCCGAGCGCAGGGCGCCAGUUCUCUUUCAGAAGCGGGAGAAGUUCAGGUGCCCAACACCUUGAUCAGUGCCUGCUUUGUAGUAGGCAUUCAAAUACUGUGGACUGGAUGAAUGGAGUCACUUCCCUUCCAACCUGCACACCAACGUGGUUGAACUGCCUCCUUUCUAAGUGCCAAAGUCUGUUUUACAAGGCUUAUUUCAGGAUGCCUGCUGCAGCUCCAGCCAUUGUGUCUGCAUUCCAGGCAAUGGGAAGGAGGAAGAGGGUAAAGCAAAAAGGACUUUCUCCAGUUGUGUUUUCUCUGUUUCAAAGAACCUUCCCAGAAGUCCUUCCCUACUAGCUUCUCAUGUUUCAUUGGCCAGAACUUCAUCGUGUGGCCACACCUGGCUGUAGAAGGGGCUGGGCAGUAGAGUCUUUGACUGGAAAUAUCACUGACUGUAGAACAGAGGAGCUCUCGAUGGCGGAAGAAUGGGAGAUCGGAUCCUGGAGGAGCAGCGAGCAGGCUCUGCAAUGCCAGAUUCUGUGCCAGCUCUCUUACUUGCCAAAGUCUUGGUGAUGGAGAAUGGUGGUAUUUUGAACCAGAGAAAACUCAGGUUUGAUGAGUUUUGUAACACUCUGAGAUCAUUGGAAACAGCCUGCGAUGCCACAGGCUUACGGUGCUUUCAGGGCCAUCUGUUCUGGAGGUGGCAACAAUGAUGAAAUCAAUAGCAAUUCAUACUGUCAGCGGCUUUCACCCCAGAAUGUCCCCUUUCAAAAUAUAGAUAAAUUUUACUUCUCUGAAUUUAUUUUCCUGUUCAUGACACAUUUAUCCUGCGAGUCUUCUGAGGCUGACUGGAGGAUGGAUUUCCUGUUCUGAGCUGCUCUCUGAUGAUGAUUAGUCUAUAGACACAAACACAGACACCACUGAGCCAGCACCAUCCAUACACCAGCACUGUACCUGUGGCAAGGCAUGUCACCCUCAUAACAGUCUUGCAGGUUGAGGGAUCAUGAUCCCAUUUUACAAGUAAAAAGUGGAGGCUCAGAGAAGCUAAGUAACUUGCCCCAAAUUGCACAGCUGAUAAAUUCCAGAGCUGGAGAGAAUGCUUUCCAGCAUACUGCACAACCCCUCAGUUCAUUUACUGUCUUCACCCUCACCUCACAUGGCUGACAAUGGUCCCUUGUGACAACAGGGGCAUUCCUGAGACCUCCAAGCAUACACUUUCUUCUAAAGCCCUUUUCUUGCCUCCACCUCUUCCUUUCUUUUCCACUCUGGAUCUUCCUCUAAUCUUGGAAAGACCCCUGGAAAAUUGUAUCUUGAAUGUAGCCUCAUCCCCCGACUCCCUUGGCAGACUCAGGCCACCCAUGCC